rnacentral:rRNA from 1 species
UGGGGAAUUUUGGACAAUGGGCGAAAGCCUGAUCCAGCAAUGCCGCGUGUGUGAAGAAGGCCUUCGGGUUGUAAAGCACUUUUGUCCGGAAAGAAAUCCUUGGCUCUAAUACAGUCGGGGGAUGACGGUACCGGAAGAAUAAGCACCGGCUAACUACGUGCCAGCAGCCGCGGCAAUACGUAGGGUGCAAGCGUUAAUCGGAAUUACUGGGCGUAAAGCGUGCGCAGGCGGUUUGCUAAGACCGAUGUGAAAUCCCCGGGCUCAACCUGGGAACUGCAUUGGUGACUGGCAGGCUAGAGUAUGGCAGAGGGGGGUAGAAUUCCACGUGUAGCAGUGAAAUGCGUAGAGAUGUGGAGGAAUACCGAUGGCGAAGGCAGCCCCCUGGGCCAAAUACUGACGCUCAUGCACGAAAAGCGUGGGGAGCAAACAGGAUUAGAUACCCUGGUAGUCCACGCCCUAAAACGAUGUCAACUAGUUGUUGGGGAUUCAUUUCCUUAGUAACGUAGCUAACGCGUGAAGUUGACCGCCUGGGGAGUACGGUCGCAAGAUUAAAACUCAAAGGAAUUGACGGGGUCAUAGCUGUUUCCU